AACAACUGGGGGAAAAGGAGGAAAUCAAGCUGUCACUGCUGCACAGCAUUGAUCUGAAAGAUGCACUUUGAGGCAUCGCUGUCAGCUAACCAGUUUGAUGGUGGUAGAUCACGGAUCGGGGCUGUUGCCAGGAAGGCUGGUGAUGUUAUUCAGAGGCUGCUGAUGUCCAGAGUCAAAAGGACGGCAGUGAGGGGAACAGAAAAGGGAAUGGCUGCUGAAGGACUGCAUGGCCUACAUGAGGAGGAAUGGAGAAGCAUACCUUGCCAAGGAGAGUUCAGCAUGAGAGUCCUGCUCCAGAAAGUUGUUCUUCUGGGGAGAAGAAAUUGUCCUGAAAUAAGAAAUUCACAAGGAGAGAAAUCAAAACAUGCUCCACAGGAACGAAAAAUAACACUGCC